rnacentral:lncRNA from 1 species
GAAUUGAUGGACUUUAAAACAAUUAACAUUCACUGAAACUUAACAGAGUUGAAACGUUUUUAACCUUAUUGGACAAAAAUAAUCGAUUGUAUGCAAUAGACAAUCGAUUAUCUUAAAAAAAAAAAAAUUUCAUCUACUGGACCAACACAAUCGAUUGUCAAAACCAGACAAUCGAUUUUUUUGGUUUUUAAGAAAAUUUUUUAAGUUUCUGGACCAACAUAAUCGAUUGUCAAAACCAUAU